GGCUUUUCUUCCUAUACAAUGACGCCGCUGCAAGUGAGCUCAGAAAUGCUUGGUUUGAGAGCCAUUUGCCUGUGAUUUUUGAAGACUAAAGAAGUAUUUACACUAGAUACUCUUCCAGAACAAAAUAGAAAUUUCAGCAAAUACUUACUGACCUUUAAAGCCUUGUGGAUUUCUGAGAUUUAAAGAUACUUUAAAAUUCUCAAGAACAAAACUUUCAAACCUCUGGUUGAAAGAAAUAUACCCAGUUCAGUCACUGCAGUAGAAUUCCUUGUAGAUAAGCAACUGGAUUUUUUAACUGAAGAUAGUGCCUUUCAGCCCUACCAGGACGACAUAGACAGCCUAAACCCAGUUCUCAGGGACAACCCGCAGCUUCAUGAGGAAGUGAAAGUCUGGGUAAAGGAACAAAAGGUUCAGGAGAUUUUUAUGCAAGGUCCUUAUUCCUUAAAUGGAUACAGAGUGAGAGUAUAUAGACAAGACUCUGCCACCCAGUGGUUUACUGGCAUAAUUACUCAUCAUGAUCUCUUCACCCGCACCAUGAUCGUUAUGAAUGAUCAGGUACUAGAACCACAGAAUGUCGAUCCUUCUAUGGUUCAAAUGACCUUUCUAGAUGAUGUUGUUCACUCUUUGUUAAAAGGUGAAAAUAUUGGCAUUACAUCACGACGCAGGUCUCGUGCCAAUCAAAACGUCAACGCUGUUCACAGCCAUUAUACACGUGCCCAAGCAAAUAGUCC
rnacentral:sRNA from 1 species